GCAGUUAUCACGAAUAAAUCUCCAGUAGCCACUUUGGUCCUUGAGGAAGAAGGCAACACACUAGCAUGACAAAGCAGUGAUUCAAAAGGGUAAUUGUUUUACAUUUGAAAGCAGGAGAAAACUAAGGAGAAAUUAUGAAGAAAGCCCUCAAUGCUAACAUAAUCACUUUGGACUCCUGGCAAAAUAAGAGUGAAGGCUGAAACACUGCUCCUGUAUGUCUGUGUUAUUUAUGUAAUAAUUAGAAAAUGCCAAGGGAAAGCAUUUAAAUACAUGAAACAAAAGCAAUCAGAAUCUUAAAUGCCAGGAUGGAAAGGCCCAAUUAACUUAAAAAAAA